GAAUUGACGGGGCCCGCACAAGCGGAGGAGCAUGUGGUUUAAUUCGAUGAUACGCGAGGAACCUUACCUGGGCUCGAACGUAAGAUGACUGUAGGUGAAAGCUUACAUCUCUUCGGAGCAUUUUACGAGGUGCUGCAUGGUUGUCGUCAGCUCGUGCCGUGAGGUGUCGAGUUAAGUCCCAUAACGAGCGCAACCCCUACCUUAGUUGCCAUCAGGUUAAGCUGGGGACUCUAAAGGAACUGCCUACGCAAGUAGUGAGGAAGGCGGGGAUGACGUCAAAUCAGCACGGCCCUUACGUCCAGGGCUACACACGUGCUACAAUGGCCGAUACAGAGGGCAGCUACCUGGUGACAGGAUGCAAAUCUCCAAAGUCGGUCUCAGUUCGGAUCGGAGUCUGCAACCCGACUCCGUGAAGUUGGAUUCGCUAGUAAUCGCGCAUCAGCCAUGGCGCGGUGAAUACGUUCCCGGGCCUU
rnacentral:rRNA from 1 species